AACGUAGGAGACGAACGUUAUCCGGAGUUACUGGGUGUAAAGGGCGUGUAGGCGGUUUGUUAAGUCUGGCGUGAAAGCUCUCGGCUAAACCGGGAGAGGUCGUUGGAUACUGGCGAACUUGAGGAUGGUAGAGGCGUGUGGAAUUCCGGGUGUAGUGGUGAAAUGCGUAGAGAUCCGGAAGAACACCGGUGGCGAAGGCGGUCUGCUGGGCAGUUGCUGACACUGAGGCGCGACAGCGUGGGGAGCAAACAGG
rnacentral:rRNA from 1 species